rnacentral:rRNA from 1 species
UACGUAGGGUGCGAGCGUUGUCCGGAAUUAUUGGGCGUAAAGAGCUCGUAGGCGGUUUGUUGCGUCUAUCGUGAAAACCUGCGGCUUAACUGUGGGCUUGCGGUCGAUACGGGCAUCACUGGAGUUCGGCAGGGGAGACUGGAAUUCCUGGUGUAGCGGUGAAAUGCGCAGAUAUCAGGAGGAACACCGGUGGCGAAGGCGGGUCUCUGGGCCGAUACUGACGCUGAGGAGCGAAAGCGUGGGGAGCGAACAGG